GCCACUAUCUCCUCCUUCACUCCAUCUCACAGGAAGAGAUUCUAAUAAUGCAGCGAGUAUGACCAGGAGAACAGAGAUGAAUUCUUGUGCCCAAUUUCCUAGGGGGGCUCACUGAAACAAGAUGACUUAUUCAACUACUAUGGGAAGUUCUUAAUGAGUAGAGACAAGUCACCAGAAAGGAAAAUAAGGCUACUUUCAUGUUUAUGGAUUUCUCGCUUGUGGACUAUUGGUGUGGAGUCAGGAGUUAGCCUUAAACGGAGCUUACCGCCCACUUUGGGCUGCUUUCCCAAGGUCACUUCCACGCCACUAUGAGACAUCAGAGGAAGACUUUAGUGGAGGUCAUUAUGCUUAAUGGGUGAAAAGACUGGAUGCAUUCAUCAUUAUAACCACGUUAUCGUCUUAAGGCUCCUGAGGUCUGGAGAAAUGAUGCUAGAACACAUGGUGGCUGUCCCUGAACACUGAAGUUUACAUUUGAGCCUGAAAUCUGAAUCAGCUUAAAUUUGAAUUAAACUGCGAUGCUCUUCAUUGGCAAAAGAAAACAAAAUCAAGUCCGAAUAACAAAUGAUCAUUGUCAAUUAUUUAAACAACUCUUAUUCAUUGCAUUUAUUUCAAGAAUGAGCCUGGUAAGAGAGUGGAGGGCUUAAGUGUUUACUUCAUUCUUUUCAUUUUGGAUGCUCCACUUUCUGAAGAUCCGGGUACAUUAAAAUGCAAAAUCCAUCUCAAUACAGAACUUUACUUGGAAUUUCUUGAUCUUAAUCGGAACUGCACGCAUAAAUUAAGGAAACUUAGAGCCCUAUA